rnacentral:rRNA from 1 species
UACGUAGGGUGCAAGCGUUAAUCGGAAUUACUGGGCGUAAAGCGUGCGCAGGCGGUUUUGUAAGUCUGUCGUGAAAGCCCCGGGCUCAACCUGGGAAUUGCGAUGGAGACUGCAAGGCUUGAAUCUGGCAGAGGGGGGUAGAAUUCCACGUGUAGCAGUGAAAUGCGUAGAGAUGCGGAGGAAUACCGAUGGCGAAGGCAGCCCCCUGGGAUAACACUGACGCUCAUGCACGAAAGCGUGGGGAGCAAACAGG